GUUUGAUCAUGGCUCAGAUUGAACGCUGGCGGCAGGCCUAACACAUGCAAGUCGAACGGUAGCACAGAGAGCUUGCUCUCGGGUGACGAGUGGCGGACGGGUGAGUAAUGUCUGGGAAACUGCCUGAUGGAGGGGGAUAACUACUGGAAACGGUAGCUAAUACCGCAUAACGUCGCAAGACCAAAGAGGGGGACCUUCGGGCCUCUUGCCAUCAGAUGUGCCCAGAUGGGAUUAGCUAGUAGGUGGGGUAACGGCUCACCUAGGCGACGAUCCCUAGCUGGUCUGAGAGGAUGACCAGCCACACUGGAACUGAGACACGGUCCAGACUCCUACGGGAGGCAGCAGUGGGGAAUAUUGCACAAUGGGCGCAAGCCUGAUGCAGCCAUGCCGCGUGUAUGAAGAAGGCCU
rnacentral:rRNA from 1 species